CCAAGUUUCUCUGAGUAGGUAGCCAAACCAUCAUGAGCUUUGGAGGUUUUCUCCUUCUCACGGAUGUCUUAUUAAAAGAAAAUUCACCAGCAUCUAGCAGAAAAGUACUGUUUUCCGUAUUUUAUCAUCUAAAGUGCCAUACGACUCAGACAUUGUAUCACCGACUUACGCCUCACAAAAGACAUAUCAGGUUGUUACCAUUCCCUUUUUGCAAAUGAGAAACUGAGUCUCAGUGAAGUUGAGGGUCAUCUGCCAAUAGGCUUUUAUGGAAGAUAUUUUGGAAUGGAGAGAAAAGUCAACUUUCUUGUGUUUCCAGGAUGUUACUUCAGCAUGUCCACUGGAUACCUAGGUAUCCAGUAGGAUACUACGUAUCUGGAUAGAUCAAGGAUACUGAGAUGCUACGUAUCUCAGCAGAUCUGGUGGAGAAUUCCUUAAUUUACUGGAAAAGAAAGACUAAGCCAACAACUCUUUUAAAGACGGAAGAAAGAUCAGAUGGAUACAGUGACCAAAAAGCAAGUUUGGAAAAACCAGUGUUUGAACUAUUGCUCAGUUACUUCUCCUGAAGGCUGCAAGGGAAUCAGGCAGGGAAAAGAACAUCAUUUCAGACCAAUCGCGUUCCUAUGUGAGAGAACAAUCUGGAAAGUGUGGAUCUUGCCCAUGGGUGUACCAAAGCUGUGUUCUGAAGUAUCAAAUGCCUGCUGUGAUGGUUAAUACUAAGUGUCAACUUGAUUGGAUUGAAGGAUGCAAAGUAUUGAUUCUGAGUGUGUCUGUGAGUACGUUGUCAAAGGAGAUUAACAUUUGAGUCAGUGGGCUGGGAAAGGCAGACCCACUCUUAAUCUGGGUGGACACCAUCUAAUAUUCUAGCCAGCACGGCUAGAAUAUAAGCAGGCAGAAAAACGUGAAAAGAGAGACUGGUCUAGCCUCCCAGCCUACAUCUUUCUGGAUGCUUCCUGCCCUUGAACAUCAGACUCCAAGUUCUUCAGUUUGGGACUCAGACUGGCUUUCCCUGCUCCUCAGCUUGCAGACGACCUAUUGUGGGACCUUACGAUCAUGUGAGUUAAUACUUAACAAACUCUUAUAUGUAUAUAUACACUCCCCUUCUAUUUCAUAUAUAUAAUAUAUGUAUAUAUAUAUAAUAUAUAUAUAUACACACACAUACUCCUAUAUAUAGGAGUAUAUAUAUGAAAUAUAUAUUAUUUAUAUAAUAUGUAAUAUUUUAUUAUUAUAUAAAUUAGUUCUCACUAAUAAAACUAAUACUCUAUUAGUUUUGUCCCUCUAAAGUACCCUGACUAAUACACCUGCCUUUUGAUGAACAAACUUUACUUCCCCAGUUAGCAAUGGCUCCGUUUAUUCACUCCAUGUGUCAGAACUUCGGGGGGACACAGCUUAAAUGUGAUUCUCUCCAUUAUUCCAUCCAUGACCACCACUAUUAGAUCCCCUACCAAUAUUCUUCUAUAGCAACCCAUUCUCCUUAGGUGACAGAUGCCAACUUAUAAUUCUUUGUUCAGACUGUCUUCCCCACUAGAAUGUAGGCUUCAUGAGGUCAAGAAUGGUGACAGUUUUAUUUGUUUCUAUAUCCUCAGUCUUAGGCAAAGAAGUUAGUGCAUAUUA
rnacentral:lncRNA from 1 species